rnacentral:rRNA from 1 species
CAAUAGCGUAUAUUAAAGUUGUUGCAGUUAAAAAGCUCGUAGUUGGAUUUGUGGCGUCCGGUGUGUUCCGGGCACUUGUUGUCUGAGUAACCUGCUGUUGCCAUCCUUGGGUGGAACCUGUGUGGCAUUAGGUUGUCGUGCAGGGGAUGCCCAUCAUUUACUGUGAAAAAAUUAGAGUGUUCAAAGCAGGCUUAUGCCGUUGGAUAUAUUAGCAUGGAAUAAUGAGAUAGGACUUUUUUGCUAUUUUGUUGGUUUGCGCAAAGAGGUGAUGAUUAAUAGGGACAGUUGGGGGUAUUCGUAUUCCAUUGUCAGAGGUGAAAUUCUUGGAUUUUUGGAAGACGAACUGCUGCGAAAGCAUUUACCAAGGAUGUUUUCAUUAA